GCUUAGCCCUAAACUAAAAUAAUUAAAUAACAAAAUUAUUCGCCAGAGAACUACUAGCAACAGCUUAAAACUCAAAGGACUUGGCGGUGCUUUAUAUCCAUCUAGAGGAGCCUGUUCUAUAAUCGAUAAACCCCGUUUAACCUCACCACUUCUUGCUAAUCCCGCCUAUAUACCGCCAUCUUCAGCAAACCCUUAAAAGGCACAGUAGUAAGCAAAAGUAUUUUACAUAAAAACGUUAGGUCAAGGUGUAGCUUAUGAGGUGGGAAGAAAUGGGCUACAUUUUCUAAAUAAUAGAAUAAUCUUAUCUUAAACGAAAGCCUCUAUGAAACUAGAAGCUAAAGGAGGAUUUAGUAGUAAGUCAAGAAUAGAGUGCUUGACUGAAUAAGGCCAUGAAGCACGC
rnacentral:rRNA from 1 species